UGCAGUCGAACGAUGAAGCCCUUCGGGGUGGAUUAGUGGCGAACGGGUGAGUAACACGUGGGCAAUCUGCCCUUCACUCUGGGACAAGCCCUGGAAACGGGGUCUAAUACCGGAUAACACCUUCCUCUGCAUAGGGGUUGGUUAAAAGCUCCGGCGGUGAAGGAUGAGCCCGCGGCCUAUCAGCUUGUUGGUGGGGUAAUGGCCUACCAAGGCGACGACGGGUAGCCGGCCUGAGAGGGCGACCGGCCACACUGGGACUGAGACACGGCCCAGACUCCUACGGGAGGCAGCAGUGGGGAAUAUUGCACAAUGGGCGAAAGCCUGAUGCAGCGACGCCGCGUGAGGGAUGACGGCCUUCGGGUUGUAAACCUCUUUCAGCAGGGAAGAAGCGAAAGUGACGGUACCUGCAGAAGAAGCGCCGGCUAACUACGUGCCAGCAGCCGCGGUAAUACGUAGGGCGCAAGCGUUGUCCGGAAUUAUUGGGCGUAAAGAGCUCGUAGGCGGCUUGUCACGUCGGAUGUGAAAGCCCGGGGCUUAACCCCGGGUCUGCAUUCGAUACGGGCUAGCUAGAGUGUGGUAGGGGAGAUCGGAAUUCCUGGUGUAGCGGUGAAAUGCGCAGAUAUCAGGAGGAACACCGGUGGCGAAGGCGGAUCUCUGGGCCAUUACUGACGCUGAGGAGCGAAAGCGUGGGGAGCGAACAGGAUUAGAUACCCUGGUAGUCCACGCCGUAAACGUUGGGAACUAGGUGUUGGCGACAUUCCACGUCGUCGGUGCCGCAGCUAACGCAUUAAGUUCCCCGCCUGGGGAGUACGGCCGCAAGG
rnacentral:rRNA from 1 species